GAUGAAGAACGUAGCGAAAUGCGAUAAGUGAUGUGAAUUGCAGAAUUCAGUGAAUCAUCGAAUCUUUGAACGCAUCUUGCGCUCCUUGGUAUUCUGAGGAGCAUGCCUGUUUGAGUGUCAUUAAAUUCUCAACUACACUGACUUUGAAUUGGUGUGGCUUGGAUUUGGGGGGAAAAUUGUUGUGGGCUUUUUGUAUAGUCUGCUCCCCUGAAAUUGAUUAGCGGUACCUUUGUGGAACUGUCUACAGGUGUGAUAAUUAUCUACAUCUUAGACAUCUGCUGGAAUGCUGCUUUCUAAACCUUACUUGUAUUGACAAUCUUGACCUCAAAUCAGGUAGGACUACCCGCUGAACUUAAGCAUAUCAAUAAGCGGAGGA
rnacentral:misc_RNA from 1 species